rnacentral:misc_RNA from 1 species
GUGAAGAACGUAGCGAAAUGCGAUAAGUAGUGUGAAUUGCAGAAUUCAGUGAAUCAUCGAAUCUUUGAACGCACCUUGCGCCCUUUGGCCAUUCCGAAGGGCAUGCCUGUUUGAGUAUCAUGAACACCUCAACUCUUUAUGGUUUUCCAUGAUGAGCUUGGACUCUGGGGGUUUUGCUGGCUCACAGUCGGCUCCUCUAAAAUUAAUCAGCUUACCAGUGUUUGGUGGGUAUCAUGGGUGUGAUAACUAUCUACGCUUGUGGUUUUUCCACCAGGUAACCUUCAGCAGUGGAGGUUCGCUGGAGCUCAUAGAUGUCUCUCCUCAGUGAGGACAGCCCUUUGAAUGUUUGAUCUCAAAUCAGGUAGGACUACCCGCUGAACUUAAGCAUAUCAAUAAGCGGAGGA